AUUUUGUUGGAAGCCUACUAUAAACCAACAUGGCAGCGGGAUCUGCAAGGCCUUACCAGUUAGAGCCCGAAUGCUCAAGUUCAGAGGAUUCAGGCGAAGAGGACCAAUUAAUUUCUUUUGGAAGAGGUCAGCAGGACGUUUCAGAGUGGUGCACAUGUGGACAUUGUGAGCGGAUGCCGUCCGAGGUUGAAAAUGUGUGCUGCAGGGAGAUACCUCAGGUCAGAAGAAGAUGUGACGAGCUACCUGAC